UUAAUUGAAGCCAAAAAGAGGCGUAUCACUGUUAAUGAUAUAAUUGAAAAUUAAUUUUCCACUUAAG
rnacentral:tRNA from 1 species